rnacentral:lncRNA from 1 species
CAGAAAGAAAAACUCUCUUGAAAUCUAGUAAUGUUAAGUCCUUACAUUUUAUUCCUUUUCAAAAUGUUUCUGACGAUUAUAGAAACUUCACCUCCUUAGUAGUUGGGCCAGAGUUUUACAAGUUGCAGUAGUAACCUGGUAAGUAUCUAAUGACGAGAGUCCUGCUUCUCCCCUGCUGGUUAUUUCAGGCAUUGGGACCAGAGCUCUUCCUAGGAAAGACUGAAUUGGGACCAAUUUCUCUUGGUGGAGCUUUGCCACUGGCCUGUGGACAGAGACUGAGGAGAUAGUUGGUGGUCAGGAAAGAGAUGGUU